rnacentral:rRNA from 1 species
UACGGAGGGAGCUAGCGUUGUUCGGAAUUACUGGGCGUAAAGCGCGCGUAGGCGGCUUUGUAAGUUAGAGGUGAAAGCCCGGAGCUCAACUCCGGAACUGCCUUUAAAACUGCAUCGCUUGAAUCCAGGAGAGGUGAGUGGAAUUCCGAGUGUAGAGGUGAAAUUCGUAGAUAUUCGGAAGAACACCAGUGGCGAAGGCGGCUCACUGGUCCAUUACUGACGCUGAGGUGCGAAAGCGUGGGGAGCAAACAGG